GUAAAAUUCAUUCCUUUAAUAUUACCCAACUGAUCAUCUUCCUCAUUCUCCUUUCUUCGUUCCUUUCUGCUGCUGCUGCUUCUCUCUUUUUUUUUUUCCUUUUUCUUUUUUUUUCCGGUUUUCUUCUCCCCUCUCUCUCUUUCUUUCUCUUUCUCUCCUCCUUCCUCUCCCUGUCUCGCCAUGGCUGCAGGAUGGCGACGAUGAACCCGUCGGUGACCAAGAACAGCCGACGACAACCACGAACGGCCGACGACGAGACCUUGCCGGAUCUAGGGAUGGCGACGAUGAACCCGUCGGUGACCAAGAACAGCCGACGACAACCACGAACGGCCGACGACGAGACCUUGCCGGAUCUAGGGUCAUCUGGUGUUAACUAAUGAUUCGGUGGAUUGAGGAUUUGCAUCCACUUCCUUCCUCAAUUAGAGUACAUCUGAAAGAAGCAUAUGUCAGUGAUGGUGCUAUAAGCUCGAUUCAGUCAGGAACUUGGAUUUGAUAAUUUUGGAAGCAGAGAGCAACUUGUCAUGAGGUUACAAGCAAACUGGAAUAUUUAAACUAUUGUUCUCUUCUUUCUUUUCUUUCACAUUUUCCUAUCUUUCCAUUGUGUUUCUUUUUUUCUUCAUGGAUUACAAGCAAACUGGAAUAUUUAAACAAACCUUUAGUGUUGACUUGGAAAUGGAAAUGAAUGCAACUAUUUUGCAAUGGGAGCAAAUUCUUUGUUUAUCAUAA